rnacentral:lncRNA from 1 species
GAGGUGGUGGGUUUGGUGCAGGUGGCGGUCUCGGCAUUGGUCAUGGUGGUGGAUUAGGUGGAGGGUUUGGAGGAGGUGGUGGUAGCGGAUUGGGUGGACGCCAUGGUGGUGGUGUAGGUAUCGGCGGUGGGCUUGGAGGAGGCGGUGGUGGUGGAUUUGGAGGUGGUGUUGGUGGAGGCCUCGGUGGUGGACAUGGCGGAGGAUUUGGUGCUGGUGCAGGAAGUGGUGUGGGUGGAGGUCUCGGUGGGGGAGGAGGUUUUGGUGGUGGUGGUGGAGCAGGACUAGGCGGAGGACAUGGUGGAGGCUUCGGCGUAGGGGCUGGUGUGGGAGGUGGUGCUGGUGGAGGUCUUGCUGGCGGAGGAGGCUUUGGCGGUGGACAUGGAGGUGGCUUCGGUGCAGGGGGUGGUAUGGGAGGCGGUGCUGGUGGAGGUCUUGGUGGUGGAUAUGGAGGCGGCGGUUUCGGAGGUCGCGGUGUUUGAGGGGCAAGCUAUGCAUGCAUGAAGUGAUGUUUCUCGUGGGUUACAUGUGAUCAUGUCAGUCUAUCUUUGUUUAGCGCGUGUUUAAAUUGAGUUUCUGUUGUAUUAAGUGAUGAAUUCAGUGUGAACUAUAUGUUCACACCAUAUAACUGAUUUAGAGAUGCACGGUGUUAUGACGUGCGUAGAAACUGUAUUGUACUAUGUACUCUAAAUUUCUAGUGAAGAAUGAAGUGCCUAAUUCACUCAUUAAACCAGAGCUUAAUAGCUACUUGCAAAUUGCAAGACCAGUUGUUUUUUUUUAUCUUAUGUCAUAUUAGUUCAACCCUGUAUUUGUUGUAUCGUGUCAAAUAUCGAAACCUAUCGAAAGGCAUAUCUCUC